GGGGGUGGAGCUCAGUGGUAGAGCACUUACCUAGCAUGUGCAAGGCCCUGGGUUCCAUCCCCAGCACCACAG
rnacentral:tRNA from 1 species